rnacentral:rRNA from 1 species
CACGUAGGCACCAAGCGUUGUCCGGAUUUAUUGGGCGUAAAGAGCUCGUAGGCGGUUCAGUAAGUCGGGUGUGAAAACUCUGGGCUUAACCCAGAGACGCCACCCGAUACUGCUGUGACUUGAGUACGGUGAGGGGAGCAGGGAAUUCCUGGUGUAGCGGUGAAAAUGCGCAGAUAUCAGGAGGAACACCGGUGGCGAAGGCGGGUCUCUGGGCCGUAACUGACGCUGAGGCGCGACAGCGUGGGGGAGCAAACAGG